UACGUAGGUGGCAAGCGUUGUCCGGAAUUAUUGGGCGUAAAGCGCGCGCAGGCGGAUAGGUCAGUCUGUCUUAAAAGUUCGGGGCUUAACCCCGUGAUGGGAUGGAAACUGCCAAUCUAGAGUAUCGGAGAGGAAAGUGGAAUUCCUAGUGUAGCGGUGAAAUGCGUAGAUAUUAGGAAGAACACCAGUGGCGAAGGCGACUUUCUGGACGAAAACUGACGCUGAGGCGCGAAAGCCAGGGGAGCGAACGGGAUUAGAUACCCGGGUAGUCC
rnacentral:rRNA from 1 species